UACGUAGGUCCCGAGCGUUGUCCGGAUUUAUUGGGCGUAAAGCGAGCGCAGGUGGUUUAUUAAGUCUGGUGUAAAAGGCAGUGGCUCAACCAUUGUAUGCAUUGAAAACUGGUAGACUUGAGUGCAGGAGAGGAGAGUGGAAUUCCAUGUGUAGCGGUGAAAUGCGUAGAUAUAUGGAGGAACGCCGGUGGCGAAAGCGGCUCUCUGGCCUGUAACUGACACUGAGGCUCGAAAGCGUGGGGAGCAAACAGG
rnacentral:rRNA from 1 species